GGCCUGGUAGCGGAUGGUCCGCGCCUGCACUCCAUGAUAUCUUGCAGACAAUCCUGUAGGACAUCGCUUGUUCGAGUCGAGCCCGGGCCA